GACGCUGAGGCACGAAAGCGUGGGGGAGCGAACAGGAUUAGAUACCCUGGUAGUCCACGCUGUAAACUAUGAUCACUCCCUGUNGGCGAUACAUUGUCAAGCGGCUGAGCGAAAGCAUUAAGUGAUCCACCUGGGGAGUACGNCCGCAAGGUUGAAACUCAAAGGAAUUGACGGGGGCCCGCACAAGCGGUGGAACAUGUGGUUUAAUUCGAUGAUACGCGAGGAACCUUACCUGGGCUUAAAUGCAGAACGACGUACCGGGAAACUGGUACUCCCUUCGGGGCGGACUGCAAGGUGCUGCAUGGUUGUCGUCAGCUCGUGCCGUGAGGUGUCGGGUUAAGUCCCAUAACGAGCGCAACCCUCAUUGUUAGUUGCCAGCGAGUAAUGUCGGGGACUCUAACGAAACUGCCGGUUUAAACCGUGAGGAAGGUGGGGAUGACGUCAAAUCGGCACGGCCCUUAUGUCCAGGGCUACACACGUGUUACAAUGGCCAGUACAAAGGGCAGCUACCACGCGAGUGGAUGCUAAUCUCUAAAGCUGGUCUCAGUUCGGAUUGAAGUCUGCAACUCGACUUCAUGAAGCUGGAAUCGCUAGUAAUCGCGCAUCAGCCAUGGCGCGGUGAAUACGUUCCCGGGCCUUGUACACACCGCCCGUCAAGCCAUGGAAGCUUGGGGUACACUGAAGUCCGUAACCGAAAGGAUCGGCCUAGGGUAAGACAAGUGACUGCGGCUAAGUCGUNACAAG
rnacentral:rRNA from 1 species